rnacentral:rRNA from 1 species
UACGUAGGGUGCAAGCGUUAAUCGGAAUUACUGGGCGUAAAGAGUGCGCAGGCGGUUUUGCAAGACCGAUGUGAAAUCCCCGGGCUUAACCUGGGAACUGCAUUGGUGACUGCAAGGCUAGAGUGUGUCAGAGGGAGGUGGAAUUCCGCAUGUAGCAGUGAAAUGCGUAGAUAUGCGGAGGAACACCGAUGGCGAAGGCAGCCUCCUGGGAUAACACUGACGCUCAUGCACGAAAGCGUGGGGAGCAAACAGGAUUAGAUACCCUGGUAGUCCACGCCCUAAACGAUGUCUACUAGUUGUCGGGGAUUAAUUUCCUUGGUAACGCAGCUAACGCGUGAAGUAGACCGCCUGGGGAGUACGGUCGCAAGAUUAAAACUC